rnacentral:tRNA from 1 species
AUUUAUAUAGUAUAAAAUUAUAUUUGAUUUCCAAUCAGAAGACCUAGAAAUAGUAUAAAUA